UGCCAGAUACAUAUCAACCUGCAGUUCACGCCUGGUGUCUCACUGAAAAUAAACAGGGUUGAGCCUGGUCAGUACCUGGAUGGGAGACCGCCUGGGGAAAACUAAGCUUGCUGAUGG
rnacentral:rRNA from 1 species